AACUCAGUGCAUUGUUUUUGAUAUUUUUGGCCAGUUCAAUCUCUUUUUAUUUCUCUCUGGUUUUCACUCUGUCAGGUCUCAUUUUUCUUUCAAUUCUUUUGCAUUUUCUCUUUUUUCCAAACCUGUUCUUUUUCUUUUUUUCAACACAACCAGGUUUCACUUUUCUUUUCUUUUUCUUGGCCUUUCUUUUCUAUAGCACUCACCAAGUUCCAGCUCUCCCUACUUCUUACAAGUCUCUAAGGUUGAUUAAUGGUUGGGGGAAAUGGCUUGAAAUGGAUGGAAAGCAAGGAAAAGAGGUUAAUGCUCAAAUGAGGUGCAAUGGUAAGAAAAUAUGAAAUGGUAAAACUAAAUGAUUAUGAAUGGUAAGAAGGAAUGCCCAAAUCAUGUCUAAAGUCCACCAAGAGCAAGCACAUCAACAAAGAAUCAAUGCAAAAUCAGAAUGAAAAUCAAGCAUGCAUGAACUCACACAAGAAAGACAAAAAAUUGGCCCAAAAUCUCUCCAGGUUAAUAAAUUUGCCAAAACUGACUUGUUUC
rnacentral:lncRNA from 1 species